AGUCCUCCUCCUCACAGAGCUUUGAGGAGCUGGACCAAAACUGUGCUCCACAGAGAGAAGAUACCGAUGCCGGGAAGCACCAGUGCCCUGAGGAAGGGCCAUUUCUAAAAGCCCUGUGCUGACACAGGGGUGCUGGUUCCUCUUCAAGAGCCCACUCUCUGGGGUGGGGCCAUAUCUCCAGCAGAGGUGGGCUGGAAAGGACCCCCCCACCCCGCCUGCCGUGAGCUGAGCUGGAGCCAUGGCCUCUGCACGCAUCUCGACGCUUGCGAUGCUCUUCACAUUGAGUGGGCUGAGAGCUCAGUUGGUGGCUCAGCCGGAAGAUCAGGUCACGGUAGCUGAAGGGAAUCCUCUGACCGUGAAAUGCACCUAUUCAGUCUCUGGAAACCCUUAUCUUUUUUGGUAUGUUCAGUACCCCAACCAAGGCCUCCAGUUCCUUCUGAAAUACAUCGCAGGGGACAACCUGGUUAAAGGCAGCUAUGGCUUUGAAGCUGAAUUUAACAAGAGCCAAACCUCUUUCCACCUGAAGAAACCAUCUGCCCUUGUGAGCGACUCCGCUUUGUACUUCUGUGCUGUGAGAGACACACACUGAUAGGG